GUUUUGAUUUGUGAUUUAAAUGUGGACAGACAGGGAGGGGACAGCUAUGGAGAAUGCUCAGUUGUCCCCGGUCCGGUGCUUGUUCCUGAGUGGUGGAGACAGGAGGUUGACAUCAGAUGAGCGGAGGCUGCGGAAAGGUGCUGAAUGGAGGUUCAUCAGCUGCCUGGCUCUCUCUGGGAGAAGAUCCCUUCUUCCCACCGCCAUGAGGAAUCUUUUGGUUUUCAGCCGUUGUAUUGUUUGACUUGUGUUUUCUUUAUGAAUAAAUCACUUUUCUUAGUCUGC